rnacentral:rRNA from 1 species
UACGGAGGGGGCUAGCGUUGUUCGGAAUUACUGGGCGUAAAGCGCACGUAGGCGGCUUUGUAAGUUAGAGGUGAAAGCCCAGGGCUUAACCCUGGAAUUGCCUUUAAGACUGCAUCGCUAGAAUCGUGGAGAGGUGAGUGGAAUUCCGAGUGUAGAGGUGAAAUUCGUAGAUAUUCGGAAGAACACCAGUGGCGGAAGGCGACUCACUGGACACGUAUUGACGCUGAGGUGCGAAAGCGUGGG